AUUGAACGCUGGCGGCAGGCCUAACACAUGCAAGUCGAACGAGUGGCGGACGGGUGAGUAAUGUCUGGGACACUGCCUGAUGGAGGGGGAUAACUACUGGAAACGGUAGCUAAUACCGCAUACCAUCAGAUGUGCCCAGGUGGGAUUAGCUAGUUGGGGGGGUAACGGCUCACCAAGGAGACGAUCCCUAGCUGGUCUGAGAGGAUGACAGGCGAAACUGGAACUGAGACACGGGCCAGACGCCUACGGGAGGCAGCAGUGGGGAAUAUGGCACAAUGGGCGCAAGCCUGAUGCAGCCAGGCCGCGUGUAUGAAGAAGGCGUUCGGGUUGUAAAGUACUUUCAGCGGGGAGGCGUUACCCGCAGAAGAAGCACCGGCUAACUCCGUGCCAGCAGCCGCGGUAAUUC
rnacentral:rRNA from 1 species